UAGUUUGCUCCACUGAAUACUUCUCUUCACAGACCCCAAAACACAGAACCAACAACCAAGGACUAAAACCUAUGAAACUGUUAGCAAGAAUAAACCUUUCAUCCCAAUGAGUUGUUUCUCUCAUAGCAACAGGAAGUGAAUGGAAGCAAUGAAAUGCCUGUGUUCCUUGUUAUCUUUUGUCAUAUUUAUUAGUGGCAUCAAAUUAAGUUCACCAGUAGUGCAUGAUAAUAAUGACUCUUGGUAUUCUAGUUAAACCUGACAAUAUUAAAGAGGAUAUAUUUGAGAAUGUCCAUACUGGUUAAGAGAGAAAAGUUGAGAGGCAAUACUUCAUUUAGGGUUCUCUAGAGGAACAGAACCAUCAUAAUAAUGUGCAUGUCUAUGUUUAUAAAAGAGAAAGAUUCAUUUAUAUAAUCAGAAGCUGGAUAGUCCUACAAUGGAGACUAUACAUGGGUGAGUUGGAGAAACCAGCAGCUGCUCAGUCCAAGAAGUCUCACAAUAAGAGCAACCAGUGGUGAGAGGCAUCCAAGCUAGAAACUCCCUGGAAAAAUCACUGCACUGCCAACAUUCAGGGUGAUCUGCCUCCUCAGUUAGCUUUUCCACAGGCCAGUGAUCCCUGGAAAGACCCACAUCAACGUACCUGGAAGACUCCUCAUUUUCAGAGUUUCCUUGGCAUCUCUCAAUCCAAUCAAGUUGACAAUCCAGGUUGAUCAUUAUGAAUAUUACCUAAUUCUUGCACUCAAUAGAAUGCACAGAAGAACAUUUGUGAAUACAAGCAUCCAUUUUACCAACAUUGAUGGGUAGCAUUGUGUGUAUAAAGGAAACUAUAAAAAAAAGGGUUGGCGAUGGGAUUCGUUUUUGCCUAGGAAAUGAACAUAAGUGUCCAAGUUCAGGUUUAAGGCUUUGAAGUCAGAACCUGUCUUCUUCAAGAUCCCUGUUUCUUCUAUGGACUGUGUUCAUUUGAUGGAAAAAAGUGAAGGAAGAUGAAACAGGAGCCACAAAUGAAGAAAAGUUGGAUCAAUGUAAGCAUCAUGAAAGGAAGAAAGACACCUCCAGCUCAAAAUAACAGACGAGAACUGUUUUGUAAAAGAUAAAUAAAAUGAUGAAAUAUUA